UUGCCAGUACUAUUCUUCAACUUUAUUUUUCAAUUUGUUUCUGAUCACCAGCUUUCAGCUAUCUCUGUUGAACAUUAGUUCUUAUUUCAGCAUAUGUCAACAAUUAUAAGCUUCUAGUCGUAAAUAAGUGAAUAUUUAAAAAGUCAGAAAAGCAUGUCAAAACAUAAAAAUAGACUCUAUGACGUCACUAACAAUCCGUUAAAUGCAAUCCGAAAUACCCUCUUCCCUCACAAAAUGAUUUGAACUGUUACAUCUGCAGACGCCAUUUUUUUAGCAAAGUAAAACUUUGGCUAUAAGCUCAAAUACCGUCACAUGAUUGUUUGAAAUCUAGAGUGACCCACGAAAUAUACAAUUCCUUUUCAAACCUAUCAUCUUUCUGAAGCAUUUAUGGUACUUCAUCAUUUCCGGAGAUCCAUGAAAGUGAAUCGUAAUUUUGAAGAAAAGUAGUUUAAUGGAAACGAAGUCCUUAGUCUGUAAUCGCUUGAACUCUUUUCUAUUAACAUUUGUUUUACUAUGGUUGCAGGUUUACUUAUCUACCCCAGACAUAAGAGCAACAUAAAUACGUGUAAACUGCCUGGCUUAGUAUGCCUAUGACUAGAUUAAAUGAAGUGAGUUUACAUGGCUGAUGUCAGCUCCUAUUUUGUUUUAGAGACAAUUUUCCUUUUGGUUUUAUUCAGAUUAUAUUUUCACAUGGAAUAUCCAUUAUACCACGCAAUAUUCAGCUGUCCCCAACACAAUUUCUAAAGAAAGAUGUGAAAAAAUUCUACUGUAUUAGCAAAGAUACAACACCUUGCGAAACUUUUCUUUGCUUCAAAAAAGGGAAACCUAGAAGCUCAUGAAGAAGCAGAAACAGAUGUCUCUCUUGAGAAACUAGCUGCAUUCCCAAGUGCACCUGCAAAAAAAUAGAGGAAACAUAUCAAUUCAAGACAUUGAAGAUGGAGAAUCACUGCAUCCUACUCGCAUGGAUAGCGAAAUGCCAUCUUGGGAUCUAGACCAAGCCAAGUAGUUUUCUAGCAUGCAUCCAUCCAUACAUCCAUACAUACAUACCAGUGAAAGCAUGGGAAAAAGGAAUACUCUUGAAUAAAACCUUAUACCAAGGCAAGUUUGACACUGGGUUGAAAAAUGGCCUAGUUCUUCUUUUCAAUGAACAUGAUGAUUGCAAUAUCAUUAUCAUCUAACCAGUCUCAAUACUGAGUCUUCUUGAAACCAAGUACAUCAUCCCUAGCAUUGUAAACUUGUGUUUUGAACUGAUCCCAAGUUUCAUCAAAGACAAUGUUGUCAAGUGUAUUAUGAAAAGCAACUAAUAUUUCUUUGCAUUUUGACACUUUGAUGUCUGAUCUAUAUUUUUAUCUUAUCAUGUACAAAUUUGUGGUCUGUAGUAGGUACUGCACCACACAUUACUCUUACAGAACAAAUAUCCUGGAGGUCUCUCUGGUAAUAAUAUAAUCCAAGAUAUGUCCAUGCUGCUUUAUAAAUAUCCUUUUGUUGAAAGUAUUGUACAUGACUAACUCAGUGCGUAAGUUGCAGAAGAAGACCAUUAGUACCCAUCUUACCCGUACCAUGACACCCAAAAGCACUCCAGUACAAAACACUCACCAUGAGAGAAAUUAAACUAAAAACUGGAAAUUCACUGAAUGAUUUGAUCAAAGGCAGGGCCAUAUAUGGAAUACAAAUUAAAACUACAGCUUCAAGAUGCAAAAUUAAGAUUGAAAAAUGCUAUAGAUAAAUGUCAAGCUAUUGAAAUAAGUGCUACAUGGGUGAAGACACUCAGCCAUGACAUAAAAUAAAUACCAAGAGAGGAAUAAAGAGGUCAGAGAAAAGACAGCAUUAAUUAUAGAUUCAUCCAUUUAAACAACUCUGCCUGAAGUAAAAAAUGUGCAAAAUGCUGUAAUUGCUUUGCUAAACUGUGCUAUUCAAAAAGCACAAAAUGUGUCUAAAAUAAGCAUUCAAAAACACACUUGUUAAGUUGAUAUAUGCUUCUGGGUGGUAUCAUACAGGGAUCAAAUGUAUUAACAUCAAAUGGGAUACAAUUUAUCACAGAUAGACAGAAUAUUGACUUUAAGCUUCACACUGUUACCUCAGGUCCAUCACUAUUGCAGUCAACUAAUGUUUGAAUAAAGAGCUACAAUCAACAUACACAAACCAGAAGGUCAGGCUAAACUUAAAUGUUCAAUCAACAACAAAGUUAUGAAGUUGCUAUUCUAAAAUCAUCACUUAUCCUAAGAAAAGAUGCAUGUGUGAAAUUAGGUUUAGUGAUAAGGUAAAUUCUGUGAACUUAUCACUAGAUUAUAAUCCUAAUUUGUGUAAAGGCUUUGUGAAAUUACCUAGUCAAUAUUUGAUCAAGUUGAAAUCAGAUUUUAUGCCAAUCCAUAAAGAACAUUUCUCAGUUGUUGAGUAUGUACUAUGUUUACAAGAUAAAGUAGAAUAUGAUAUAGCAUUACUAAGUAUAGUACUAGGGUCUUGUACAGUGAGCAGAGUAUUAUAGAGCAAGGCUAUUUUACAGUAAAGUACAAUAUUGUACAGAAGUGCACUGGGUACAGUGAGAAGCAUAACCAUUCAUUUCAGUGGUAACUUGCAAUAUAGCCACAUGAAAUUCCAUCUAACACUGAACAUGAGAGUAUGGCAACACUUAAUGCUACUAUGACAUAGUUAUUGUGAACUGUUACUCCAAGUUUACAUGCAACAGAAAUUCAAUCUACAUAAUUCUACAGUAAUAAACAAGCUUAAAUAAUGUUCUGCCAAACAAAGAAUUCUGAUUUUGGAUAACUCAUAACUAUUGUCUUAUGAAUUAAAAAGCCCUAUCAAAAUGUGAAACUUUUACCAUAUUACAUCCAAUCUAUGAUUCCUAAUAUUGUAGCAGAGUCUAUGAAAUCAAAGACCCCUACAUAGUAUUGCUAAACUUGUGAAAUACACUAUUAACCAAAGUAGGUAAAUCAAUCACUUGCACAUUUCAUGCGUCUACAUCAUAUCAGUUGCUGUACCCUCAUGCAAAAACAUCUGUUUUUCUUUUUGUAAGUGGAGCCUUCUGAGAGUUAAAGCAUUUAUAACUGGUGACCAUUCACAAAUACAAAUAAAGUGGAAAACCUUGGAACAGCAGUGAAGCAGUAAGCUUGUAACUUAACAGAGGUUUUUUGUACUAAUCAUGUGAUAUAUCUGCUUCAUAGUUUAGGCAGAUUGACACUCUUUAUAAAUAAUUACACACACAUGUAGUAGGGAGUAAAUAGUGCAUCAAGUGCUACUUAUGUUACAUUUCCCAUCAAACUUACCCCUCUUUUCUGUUUGCUUUGGCUCUGGGGCUGACAUCUGUCCAUAAAUAAUUACCUUGAACCAGAUGCUGAGAACAUACCAUCAGAGUCUUAUUCCUCUUUCAUUACAGACCAACAAAGGGCCUUCACAUAUUAGAACUUUUACUAACCACCCACAUUAUAAUCAGAAUUCAGAAUUCUAUUUUUCUUUGUGUAGACUUGCAACUCUCUUCAAAUUUGAUAACAACAUUCUAACUAUUAAUUAAUGCAAACACUAAACAAUGAAGAGAAAGACAAA
rnacentral:lncRNA from 1 species